rnacentral:rRNA from 1 species
GAUGAACGCUGGCGGCGUGCUUAACACAUGCAAGUCGAACGUGAGAGGUAGCAAUAUCUUGAAAGUGGCGCACGGGUGAGUAACACGUAGGUAACCUGCCUCGGAGUGGGGGAUAACAGUUAGAAAUGACUGCUAAUACCGCAUGAAUCCAUUAAGAUGGGAAUGUUGAUGGAGAAAACUCUGGUGCUUCGAGAGGGGCCUGCGGUCGAUUAGCUAGUUGGCGGGUAACGCCCACCAAGGCGACGAUCGAUAGCUGGUCUGAGAGGACGAUCAGCCACACGGGAACUGAGACACGGUCCCGACUCCUACGGGGGGCAGCAGUGAGGAAUAUUGGGCAAUGGGCGGAAGCCUGACCCAGCAACGCCGCGUGGAGGAAUGAAGGCCUU